rnacentral:rRNA from 1 species
AUUGAACGCUGGCGGCAUGCCUUACACAUGCAAGUCGAACGGUAACAGGCCGCAAGGUGCUGACGAGUGGCGAACGGGUGAGUAAUGCAUCGGAACGUGCCCAGUCGUGGGGGAUAACUGCUCGAAAGAGCCGCUAAUACCGCAUACGACCUGAGGGUGAAAGCGGGGGACCGUAAGGCCCCGCGCGAUUGGAGGGGCCGAUGGCAGAUUAGGUAGUUGGUGGGAUAAAAGCUUACCAAGCCGACGAUCUGUAGCUGGUCUGAGAGGACGACCAGCCACACUGGGACUGAGACACGGCCCAGACUCCUACGGGAGGCAGCAGUGGGGAAUUUUGGACAAUGGGCGCAAGCCUGAUCCAGCCAUGCCGCGUGCAGGAUGAAGGCCUUCGGGUUGUAAACUGCUUUUGUACGGAACGAAAAGACUCUGGUUAAUACCUGGGGUCCAUGACGGUACCGUAAGAAUAAGCACCGGCUAACUACGUGCCAGCCGCCGCAGUAAAAC